UCGUCCUUUUCUUAUUCUCCUGGUGGAUCGUUUGGAAGCCCCAGCUUGGUAAAUGCUGCAAUUGUUGAAAUUCUGUUUUUUCCCCUCUGUUUACUGGAUUUUUUUUGAGUAAUUUAUUAUUUGAUCUAGGGCUUAUCCCUUUUUUUUCGUGGUGGAUUGCUUUGUGACAUUCUUCAAGGAAAAAUAUCGCAAAAUCUUUAAAUAUAGAGAAUGGAUAUGAAUGAUCAAAUUGGUGCUAGAAUGGUUUUGAAUUUAAAUAACAUGUUCACUGUAUAUUUCUUUGCCCUCUGAAAAUUCUUUUUCAAUUAUAUACUUAGUUUUGUCUUUCUUUUAAAAGCUGACAGCACUAAGAUUGGCUAGUUUGUGAGAUAUUACAUUUGUCAUGUUUGAGCUAGCAUUCAUUUGAAUGUUGUGUCUGCCUCAGAUACUGUAAAGAGAAAAGGGAAGUGACAAUUUAGAUAACAAUGAGCACUUGCUAAAGUGGAUGCUUGCUUACAAUUGGUGAACUCAUGGCCAAUGUUAGGGAUAGAACUGAAGAUUUCAAGGAUGCUGUCCGUGCUGGGGCUCUUUCCCUCGGAUAUACUGAGGUUGUUGAUUAUUUCCAGUACCUUUUGUUUUGUUCCUUUUGGAUGUGGGGCAGGCAAAAGCUCCUGAACCUGAUUUAUGCUUUGCUAACCACUUUAGGAAAUUAAA
rnacentral:lncRNA from 1 species